AUGAAUGCUGGCGGCGUGUCUAAGGCAUGCAAGUCGAACGGUCCUCCAUAACUCGCAAGAGCGACGGAGGAUAGUGGCAAACGGGAGCGUAACACAUUGGCAACCUACCUCGCACUCGUGGAUAACGGUUGGAAACGACCGCUAAUACACGAUAUUGAUGGAGAGAUGCAAAUCUCAUCAUUGAAAGUUUUUCGGUGCGAGAGGGGCCUAUGGUCCAUCAGCUAGUUGGAGGGGUAACGGCCCACCAAGGCUAUGACGGAUACCAGGCGCGAGAGCGUGACCUGGCUCAUUGGAACUGAGACACUGUCCAAACACCUACGGGUGGCUGCAGUCGAGAAUAUUCCACAAUGCACGAAAGUGUGAUGGAGCGACGCCGCGUGUCAAAAGAAGGCCUUCGGGUCGUAAAUGACUUUUCUCAGGGACGAAUUUUGACGGUACCUGAGGAAUAAGGGGUUGCUAACUCUGU
rnacentral:rRNA from 1 species